rnacentral:rRNA from 1 species
AGGACGAACGCUGGCGGCGUGCUUAACACAUGCAAGUCGAGCGAGGCCCGCCUUUCGGGGUGGUGUUCUAGCGGCGAACGGGUGAGUAACACGUGGGCAACCUGCCCUCAGCUCUGGGAUAACUCCAAGAAAUUGGGGCUAAUACCGGAUAUGACUGCUGACCGCAUGGUCUGGUGGUGGAAAAGAUUUAUCGGCUGGGGGAUGGGCCCGCGGCCUAUCAGCUUGUUGGUGGGGUAGUGGCCUACCAAGGCGACGACGGGUAGCCGGCCUGAGAGGGUGACCGGCCACACUGGGACUGAGACACGGCCCAGACUCCUACGGGAGGCAGCAGUGGGGAAUAUUGCGCAAUGGGCGGAAGCCUGACGCAGCGACGCGCGUGGGGAUGACGGCCUCGGUUGUAACUCUUCUAGCAGGACGAAGACGAAAGUAGACGGUACGUGCAGAAGAAAGACAACCGGACCAACCUAACCGUACGACCACGACAGACCGC